GUAGGGAAUAUUGCACAAUGGAGGAAACUCUGAUGCAGCGACGCCGCGUGAGUGAUGAAGGCCUUCGGGUCGUAAAGCUCUGUCGUAUGGGACUAACACAAUGAAGGUACCAUGCAAGAAAGGAUCGGCUAACUUCGUGCCAGCAGCCGCGGUAAGACGAGGGAUCCUAGCGUUGUUCGGAAUUAUUGGGCGUAAAGCGGGUGUAGGCGGAUUUAUAAGUCAGGUGUGAAAUCCCAGGGCUCAACCCUGGAAGUGCACUUGAUACUGUAAGUCGUGAGUGUGGUAGAGGCUAUUAGAAUUCUUGGUGUAGUGGUGAAAUACGUAGAUAUCAAGAGGAAUACCGGAGGCGAAGGCGGAUAGCUGGGCCAACACUGACGCUGAGACCCGAAAGCGUGGGGAUCAAACAGGAUUAGAAACCCGGGUAGUCC
rnacentral:rRNA from 1 species